AAAAUCCCGCAAUAUUUUCCAGGUAAUAGCAGUUUUCUAAACAUCACCGCAGCCAAGUAGCAGUAUUUGAAAUUGUGCGUCAGUUUUUUCAAGCCUACAUUUUGUGAUAGUUAAAAACCGCUACAAAUUAACGCCUUUUCGCUGUGACAUUUCAUAAAUAAUAGGAGAGGAGAAUUCAUUUAAAUUUCUUGUAGAAGAGGAG
rnacentral:lncRNA from 1 species